rnacentral:rRNA from 1 species
GACGAACGCUGGCGGCGUGCUUAACACAUGCAAGUCGAACGAAGAGCGAUGGAAGCCUGCUUCUAUCAAUCUUAGUGGCGAACGGGUGAGUAACGCGUAAUCAACCUGCCCUUCAGAGGGGGACAACAGUUGGAAACGACUGCUAAUACCGCAUACGAUCUAAUCUCGGCAUCGAGGAUAGAUGAAAGGUGGCCUCUACAUGUAAGCUAUCACUGAAGGAGGGGAUUGCGGCUGAUUAGCGAGUUGGAGGGGUAACGGCCCACCAAGGCGAGGAUCAGUAGCCGGUCUGAGAGGAUGAACGGCCACAUUGGGACUGAGACACGGCCCAGUCUGCUACGGGAGGCAGCAGUGGGGAAUCUUCCGCAAUGGACGAAAGUCUGACGGAGCAACGCCGCGGGAGUGAGGACGGCCUUCGGGUUGUAAAGCUCUGUUAAUCGGGACGAAAGGCCUUCUUGCGAAUAGUGAGAAGGAUUGACGGUACCGGAAUAGAAAGCCACGGCUAACUACGUG